ACAAGUCCUUCGUCCCACGCCGGAGUGUGUGGAAGAGUGAUGGGCAGAGCCAGCGCUUCCCUCAGGCGUUAGACCUGUCACGAGGGGACCUAGUUCCCCCCCACACGGCUUCACACCACCCUAAGAACACAGAUCUGUUUGAGAUGAUUGAAAAGAUGCAGGGAAGCAGGAUGGAUGAACAACGAUGCUCCUUCCCACCGCCCCUCAAAACAGAGGAGGACUACAUUCCCUACCCGAGCGUCCAUGAGGUCCUGGGGCGAGAAGGACCUUUCCCCCUCAUCCUGCUGCCCCAGUUUGGGGGCUACUGGAUUGAAGGCACUAACCACGAAGUCACCAGCAUCCCUGAGACAGAGCCGCUGCAGUCGCCCACCACCAAGGUGAAGCUCGAGUGCAACCCCACAGCCCGCAUCUACCGGAAGCACUUUCUCGGCAAGGAGCACUUCAAUUACUACUCCCUGGAUGGCGCCCUGGGCCACCUUGUCUUCUCACUCAAAUAUGAUGUCAUCGGGGACCAGGAGCACCUGCGGCUGCUGCUCAGGACCAAGUGUCGGACGUACCAUGAUGUCAUCCCCAUCUCCUGCCUCACUGAGUUCCCCAAUGUGGUUCAGAUGGCAAAGCUGGUGUGUGAGGACGUCAAUGUGGAUCGAUUCUAUCCUGUGCUCUACCCCAAGGCUUCCCGGCUCAUCGUGACCUUUGACGAGCACGUUAUCAGCAAUAACUUCAAGUUCGGAGUGAUUUACCAGAAGCUCGGGCAGACCUCCGAGGAAGAACUCUUCAGCACCAACGAGGAGAGCCCUGCCUUCGUCGAGUUCCUGGAGUUUCUUGGCCAGAAGGUCAAACUGCAGGACUUCAAAGGGUUCCGAGGAGGCCUGGACGUGACCCACGGGCAGACGGGGACCGAGUCUGUGUACUGCAACUUCCGCAACAAGGAGAUCAUGUUUCACGUGUCCACCAAGCUGCCUUACACAGAAGGGGACGCCCAGCAGUUGCAGCGGAAGCGGCACAUCGGGAAUGACAUCGUCGCCGUGGUCUUCCAGGAUGAGAACACGCCCUUUGUGCCCGACAUGAUUGCGUCCAACUUCCUGCAUGCCUACGUGGUGGUGCAGGCUGAGGGUGGGGUCCCCGAUGGGCCCCUCUACAAGGUCUCUGUCACCGCGAGAGACGACGUGCCCUUCUUUGGCCCCCCACUUCCGGACCCCGCUGUGUUCAGAAAGGGGCCCGAGUUCCAGGAAUUCUUGCUGACUAAGCUGAUCAAUGCCGAGUACGCCUGCUACAAGGCAGAGAAGUUUGCCAAACUGGAGGAGCGGACGAGGGCCGCCCUCUUGGAGACGCUCUAUGAGGAGCUGCACAUCCACAGCCAGUCGAUGAUGGGCUUGGGCGGUGACGAGGACAAGAUGGAGAAUGGCGGCGGCGGAGGCGGCUUCUUCGAGUCUUUCAAGCGAGUCAUCCGGAGCCGCAGCCAGUCCAUGGACGCCAUGGGGCUGAGUAACAAGAAGCCCAGCACCGUGUCCACCAGCCACAGUGGAAGCUUCGCACCCAACAACCCCGACCUGGCCAAGGCGGCGGGAAUAUCAUUGCUUAUUCCCGGGAAAAGCGCGAGUAGAUUCGGACGCCGGGGCAGUGCCAUAGGCAUAGGAACCGUGGAAGAGUCACUGAUUGUCCCUGGGAAGAGCCCCACGAGGAAGAAGUCAGGCCCGUUCGGCUCCCGCCGCAGCAGCGCCAUCGGCAUCGAGAAUAUACAGGAGGUGCAGGAGAAGAGGCCCAGUGCUGAGUCCCCCCGCUGCCCCCGUGUGCCCCGCAGGGAGAGCCCCCCGGCUGGCCAGAAGACCCCAGACAGCGGGCACGUCUCGCAGGAGCCCAAGUCGGAGAACUCAUCUACUCAGAGCUCCCCAGAGAUGCCCACCACCAAGAACAGGUUGGGCUCAAGAGCGGAGACAGCAGCCCAGAGGGCGGAAGCGCUGAAGGACUUCUCGCGCUCUUCAUCCAGUGCCAGCAGCUUCGCCAGCGUGGUGGAGGAGACGGAGGGUGUGGACGGGGAGGACACAGGCCUGGAGAGCGUGUCGUCUUCAGGGACGCCCCAUAAGCGGGACUCGUUGGUCUACAGCACGUGGCUGGAAGACAGCGUCAGCACGACCAGUGGGGGCAGCUCCCCAGUGAGGUGGCUCCCUCCUGCCCCCCUCCCCAGGCCCCUCGCGGUCACCCCACCCAGACGCCGCCAAGUCGGGGGACCCUGCGUGUCCCGAGAUCAAGAUCCAGCUGGAAGCAUCUGAGCAGCACACGUCCCAGCUGGGCUGUUAGCCAGACUGCCCUCUGGUGACGUGGAACAGACAAGGCCGCAGAAGCACAAGAAGAUGCUGUGUCGAGUCUAGACGGCCCUCAGCCCCGUGGCCCACGCAGCCACGGCCACCCCAGCCUCCCCCUUGGCCCACGUCCGGGCUAUCUCUGCAGGGCGGAGUCGUCCAGACCUGGGAGCGGGGAGGCUGCUGGCAUCGUCCCCACCCCCCAGGCUGGGGGUCUGGCUGGGCAUGGGUUGAUGGUUGAAGCAGGGCGGCAGGCCCGGCUUGCCCCCACCUGGGCCUCCAUCACCCCGGGCACUCCUCUGGACUCGGGGAGCAGGGGGUACUGGGAUUGCUUAGUGAGUGCGGCGCCCACCACGGAGGCUGCAGGAGGUGGGCUGUGGUGGGGUGAAUCCUGGGCUGGGAGUCCUGAGCCCUGGGUUCCCAUGUGAAUUCUGCUGUGUGACCAGGCAAGUCACCGUCCGUCUCUGGGCAUCUCUGCUACAGACAGACGAGGUUACUUGUAGGUCACUGGAGGCGAUUCCAUAUACCUGCCGGGGGACUGUCCCCCAGGGACGUCCCAUCACUACCCUGCUUCUUGAGGCUGCUGGGGCCCCAGGUGGGCUGAGGGGCAGGGAGCUGGCUGUGCCGUGGCCCCCCUAGGACCCUCAAGCUCUACCACAGAUCUGCCAAGGCCCUGUCCACUGCCUACACGUGACAGACAAGUCCCCUUAGGGGAAGGGGUCUGGCCGGCUCCUCAGCCAGCAUCCAGCUUAACCCCUGCCAUCCCAUGCUCCCGGACACUCCAGGCUGAGGGGUCCCAGCCGGCCUCCCACCACCGAUGGGAGGCAGCCAGGCACAGCUGUGUCCAUGUCCUUGUGUGUGUCUGUCACACUUUUUAGGCACCACGCCAAAGGCCAGCCUUCUGGCCCCAGCACCCAUUUUGAAAGCCCCUGUGGCCGUGUGUAUGUCGGUAACAGUUGUACAAAAUAAAUUCUAUUUAUCGCUAUUGUA